AGUGAACGCUGGCGGUAGGCCUAACACAUGCAAGUCGAACGGCAGCACAGUAAGAGCUUGCUCUUACGGGUGGCGAGUGGCGGACGGGUGAGGAAUACAUCGGAAUCUACUUUUUCGUGGGGGAUAACGUAGGGAAACUUACGCUAAUACCGCAUACGACCUACGGGUGAAAGCAGGGGAUCUUCGGACCUUGCGCGAUUGAAUGAGCCGAUGUCGGAUUAGCUAGUUGGCGGGGUAAAGGCCCACCAAGGCGACGAUCCGUAGCUGGUCUGAGAGGAUGAUCAGCCACACUGGAACUGAGACACGGUCCAGACUCCUACGGGAGGCAGCAGUGGGGAAUAUUAGACAAUGGGCGCAAGCCUGAUCCAGCCAUACCGCGUGGGUGAAGAGGGCCUUCGGGUUGUAAAGCCCUUUUGUUGGGAAAGAAAAGCAGCAGGUUAAUACCCCGCUGUUCUGACGGUACCCAAAGAAUAAGCACCGGCUAACUUCGUG
rnacentral:rRNA from 1 species